GACAGAGGGUGCAAACGUUGUUCGGAAUUACUGGGCAUAAAGCGCACGUAGGUGGUCCACUAAGUCGAGUGUGAAAUCCCCCGGCUCAACCGGGGAAUUGCGCUCGAUACUGGUGGACUCGAGGUCGGUAGGGGUGAGCGGAACUCCAGGUGGAGCGGUGAAAUGCGUAGAUAUCUGGAGGAACACCGGUGGCGAAAGCGGCUCACUGGAUCGAAUCUGACACUGAGGUGCGAAAGCUAGGGUAGCAAACGGG
rnacentral:rRNA from 1 species